GACGAACGCUGGCGGCGUGCUUAACACAUGCAAGUCGAACGGAAAGGCCCUGCUUUUGUGGGGUGCUCGAGUGGCGAACGGGUGAGUAACACGUGAGUAACCUGCCCUUGACUUUGGGAUAACUUCAGGAAACUGGGGCUAAUACCGGAUAGGAGCUCCUGCUGCAUGGUGGGGGUUGGAAAGUUUCGGCGGUUGGGGAUGGACUCGCGGCUUAUCAGCUUGUUGGUGGGGUAGUGGCUUACCAAGGCUUUGACGGGUAGCCGGCCUGAGAGGGUGGCCGGCGACAUUGGGCCUGAGAUACGGCCCAGACUCCUACGGGAGGCAGCAGUGGGGAAUAUUGCACAAUGGGCGGAAGCCUGAUGCAGCAACGCCGCGUGCGGGAUGACGGCCUUCGGGUUGUAAACCGCUUUCGCCUGUGACGAAGCGUGAGUGACGGUAAUGGGUAAAGAAGCACCGGCUAACUACGUG
rnacentral:rRNA from 1 species